CACUUUAGCUCAGGUGGUUAGAGCAACUCUGCAUGUAAUGAGGAGGUCCUGGGUUAGAAUCCCAGUAAAGCUA